rnacentral:rRNA from 1 species
UUGAAAAAGCUGGGGCGGCAGGCCUAACACAUGCAAGUCGAGCGGUAGCACAGAGAGCUUGCUCUCGGGUGACGAGCGGCGGACGGGUGAGUAAUGUCUGGGAAACUGCCUGAUGGAGGGGGAUAACUACUGGAAACGGUAGCUAAUACCGCAUAAUGUCGCAAGACCAAAGUGGGGGACCUUCGGGCCUCAUGCCAUCAGAUGUGCCCAGAUGGGAUUAGCUAGUAGGUGGGGUAACGGCUCACCUAGGCGACGAUCCCUAGCUGGUCUGAGAGGAUGACCAGCCACACUGGAACUGAGACACGGUCCAGACUCCUACGGGAGGCAGCAGUGGGGAAUAUUGCACAAUGGGCGCAAGCCUGAUGCAGCCAUGCCGCGUGUGUGAAGAAGGCCUUCGGGUUGUAAAGCACUUUCAGCGGGGAGGAAGGCGUUAAGGUUAAUAACCUUGUCGAUUGACGUUACCCGCAGAAGAAGCACCGGCUAACUCCGUGCCAGCAGCCGCGGUAAUACGGAGGGUGCAAGCGUUAAUCGGAAUUACUGGGCGUAAAGCGCACGCAGGCGGUCUGUCAAGUCGGAUGUGAAAUCCCCGGGCUCAACCUGGGAACUGCAUUCGAAACUGGCAGGCUAGAGUCUUGUAGAGGGGGGUAGAAUUCCAGGUGUAGCGGUGAAAUGCGUAGAGAUCUGGAGGAAUACCGGUGGCGAAGGCGGCCCCCUGGACAAAGACUGACGCUCAGGUGCGAAAGCGUGGGGAGCAAACAGGAUUAGAUACCCUGGUAGUCCACGCCGUAAACGAUGUCGAUUUGGAGGUUGUGCCCUUGAGGCGUGGCUUCCGGAGCUAACGCGUUAAAUCGACCGCCUGGGGAGUACGGCCGCAAGGUUAAAACUCAAAUGAAUUGACGGGGGCCCGCACAAGCGGUGGAGCAUGUGGUUUAAUUCGAUGCAACGCGAAGAACCUUACCUGGUCUUGACAUCCACAGAACUUUCCAGAGAUGGAUUGGUGCCUUCGGGAUCUGUGAGACAGGUGCUGCAUGGCUGUCGUCAGCUCGUGUUGUGAAAUGUUGGGUUAAGUCCCGCAACGAGCGCAACUCUUAUCCAUUGUUGCCAGCGGUUCGGCCGGGAACUCAAAGGAGACUGCCAGUGAUAAACUGGAGGAAGGUGGGGAUGACGUCAAGUCAUCAUGGCCCUUACGACCAGGGCUACACACGUGCUACAAUGGCAUAUACAAAGAGAAGCGACCUCGCGAGAGCAAGCGGACCUCAUAAAGUAUGUCGUAGUCCGGAUUGGAGUCUGCAACUCGACUCCAUGAAGUCGGAAUCGCUAGUAAUCGUAGAUCAGAAUGCUACGGUGAAUACGUUCCCGGGCCUUGUACACACCGCCCGUCACACCAUGGGAGUGGGUUGCAAAAGAAGUAGGUAGCUUAACCUUCGGGAGGGCGCUUACCACUUUG